AUUCCAGCUCCAAUAGCGUAUAUUAAAGUUGUUGUGGUUAAAAAGCUCGUAGUUGGAUCUCGGCGGACUGAGGGCGGUUUGCUUGCUAGUAUUACUGCCCUAUAGUCCGUAGUUUUGCCAGAGGUUUCGAGGUGCUCUUAAUCGAGUGUCCCGGGAUGCUGGCAGGUUUACUUUGAAAAAAUUAGAGUGCUCAAAGCAGGCUAUUACGCCUGAAUAUUCGUGCAUGGAAUAAUAGAUAGGACUUUGGUACUAUUUUGUUGGUUUGCAUACCAAGGUAAUGAUUAACAGGGACAGUUGGGGGUAUUCGUAUUUAAUUGUCAGAGGUGAAAUUCUUGGAUUUAUGAAAGACGAACUACUGCGAAAGCAUUUACCAAGGAUGUUUUCAUCA
rnacentral:rRNA from 1 species